rnacentral:rRNA from 1 species
AGAGGCGAUGAAGGACGUGCUAAUCUGCGAUAAGCGUCGGUAAGGUGAUAUGAACCGUUAUAACCGGCGAUUUCCGAAUGGGGAAACCCAGUGUGAUUCGUCACACUAUCAUUAACUGAAUCCAUAGGUUAAUGAGGCGAACCGGGGGAACUGAAACAUCUAAGUACCCCGAGGAAAAGAAAUCAACCGAGAUUCCCCCAGUAGCGGCGAGCGAACGGGGAGGAGCCC